AGCAAGCUGACCCAAGAAGCUGCAUUCACAGUCCUGGACCUGUCUUGGAGUUCAGUCACUGGGAGGACUCCAGAGUUCACAUCACGCUUCUUGAAAUGCUGGAUGUACCCAGAGCAACCAGAGAUCUGGGAUGGAUUACAAGGCCUCCUUGAAGAUGUACUUGACUGAAGGAACACAGCGACAGGGAAGAGCAGUUUCAUGGUUUUUUUAUGCCAUGCAGUACUGUAUCUGGUAAACUCGAGUCUACAAAGCCCACAGAAAGUAAGGGAAUUCUGAACUAGAAGAGGAUGAACUGGAAGCAGAAGAUCCUGUAGAUUCACCAUGUUUCCUUCCCAGUGGUCCCACAGGACACUGUGAGUAUGGUGAGAAGAAGCAGCUCUGAAGUCUGGAAAGGUGUGCUUCCUAGUGCAGCCUUUUCUGAACCUGCUUGAUCAUUGGAACUCCCUCAGGUUGCUGGAACUGACCAGAGGCACACGGGGGAGCUUCCUUGGCAAAUGACAGUGACCAGAGCCGAAUCAAGCUGUCUCAGCAGAGAGAGCAAGCAAGAAAGAAUGAGAGCAAGAGGGA